ACUCUGUAGUGACCACAACUACUCAGUUGCGUUCAAAUCUACCAUGAGCGUGUAUGACAACAUAAUGGUAAAAUAAACUAUAAGUGUUUUCAUAACACCUGAUUCAUAGUAGUGUGAACUGCACACGUGAUGUGAGAUCCAUAGUAAGACUAACCAUCAAUUGCAGUAGACACAGUCAGUUCUGCCAAACAGCCAGCCAAAGAAAAAUUGCAAACCCAAAAAACAUUUUUUCGUUUGAAUUAGAUGGUACGAUUACUCGCGAUUACUCUCAAUAAGGGAUUUGAAACAAAUCAACUAAUUCAUCAUUUAUCGAUUCAAAUUUGGUAAUACUUAUCGACGAAUUCAGCAACACCGAAUUAAACUUGGAAUUAAAUCAAGGUUAUCGAGUGCAUAAUAUUAUGUGUAAGAACGAAAUCCUUCAUUUGGGUGAUGAAACGACGAUGAGAGAAACAAUGUUGAAAAAAAGUAUACGCAGAAUAUCAACCGAAAAUAUUAUCAUAGAAGUGCACUCCACCGUGUCAAUGGAAAAGAUGCUCAGUCCAGUUUCAGCCGAAGUUCCUGCUUAUUGUCCACUGGCGUUCAAAUAAUCCAUCUCCCAGUUCCUGAAUUCACACGAGACGGCACAAGAUUAGUUUUAUACCAACAAAUUUCCUCCUAGAUGUGGGAAUUUGAGUGAUACAACAUGUAUACUGUAUAAAUAUAUAAUGAAGUGUUAUCAAAAUUAUGUUUUCUUUCUUUCGCAUAAUUGAAAUCGGAAAUUAUCAAACAUUAUUAAACAAACGCAUAGUAUUUUCUCACCAUAUUAUAGUAAAAUGAACCCUCAUUCCGUGGUGAAUUCCACUUUGUGUAUGUGCUAUGGUUUAUAGUACACAUGACGUAAGCAUAGUAAAACCUACUGUAUUCUAAACCAGUAAACAACAU